rnacentral:rRNA from 1 species
UACGUAGGGUGCGAGCGUUGUCCGGAAUUACUGGGCGUAAAGAGCUCGUAGGUGGUUUGUCGCGUUGUUCGUGAAAACUCACAACUCAAUUGUGGGCGUGCGGGCGAUACGGGCAGACUGGAGUACUGCAGGGGAGACUGGAAUUCCUGGUGUAGCGGUGGAAUGCGCAGAUAUCAGGAGGAACACCGGUGGCGAAGGCGGGAUCCUGGGCCAGUACUGACGCUGAGGAGCGAAAGCGUGGGGAGCAAACAGG